CAUGCCGUAAACGUUGGGAACUAGAUGUAGGGUCCAUUCCACGGAUUCUGUGUCGCAGCUAACGCAUUAAGUUCCCCGCCUGGGGAGUACGGCCGCAAGGCUAAAACUCAAAGGAAUUGACGGGGGCCCGCACAAGCGGCGGAGCAUGCGGAUUAAUUCGAUGCAACGCGAAGAACCUUACCAAGGCUUGACAUAUACCGGAAACGGCUGGAAACAGUCGCCCCGCAAGGUCGGUAUACAGGUGG
rnacentral:rRNA from 1 species